rnacentral:misc_RNA from 1 species
UUUUUUCCCACAUGUAUAGUCAAGAACAAGAGAUAGAUUGAUUGACAUGUCAACUUCAAGUAAACUUCUAGUGGUAGCCAUUGACUUUGGAACCACAUACAGUGGCUACGCUUAUUCAUUCAAACACCAAUAUGACACCGAUCCCCUGAUACCCUGUACCGACAGCUGGGCCAGGGAUUCCAGAAGCCUGGUGUCACUAAAAACCCCGACGUGCGUCUUGUUUGACAAGGACAAGAUGUUUGAUUCUUUUGGCUAUGAAGCUGAAGAUAAAUAUUCAGAGCUGGCAGAGGAGGAGGAGCACCAGGAGUGGUACUUUUUCAGGAGGUUUAAGAUGUCCCUGUUUAACAAAGAGAAACGGCUUUCAGAGGAUGUGAAGAUAAAAUCCACAGACGGGAAGGAAAUGACGGCAAUCCAUGUCUUCUCUGCAGCCAUCAAGUUCUUGAGGGGCCAUUUGCUUGACACUCUAGAAAAACGAGCGACGGGGGUGAGGGAGACAGACAUACAGUGGGUCCUCACGGUCCCCGCUAUCUGGGACGACGCGGCCAAGCAGUUCAUGAGGGUAGCCGCAGAAAAAGCUGACAUUUGUGGUGAUCAGUUAUUAAUUGUUACCGAGCCGGAAGCUGUUUUCUCGUACUACAUGCACAAAGAAACUCGGGAUGGUAGAAAAUAUUGUUCUUCAAUGGGAACUGGAACUAAAUGCAUGGUUGUUAUUGCUGAAGAUGUCGGAUUUGAAAUAGCUGUUUAUGACGUUCAUCACAAAAGAAUUCUAAGAAAGCACUUCUCAGCUUUGAAUUUUGAUUGGGGAGGAAACAAAGUAGAUGCUUCGUGUUGCACUCUUCUAACGGACAUAGUUGGCGAUAACGUUAUGAAAGCGUUUAUCACCGAGUGUGAAGACGAUUUCAAUGACUUUCUGCAUCAAUUUGAAAUUACGAAGAGAGCCAUACAUCCCGAGAAAAACUGGUAAAAUUACAAUUAUAACACCAAACUCCUUAUUAAAAACCUAUUUGGAGAUGAAUCCGGAAUGCGACAUCAAUACAAGGAUAUCAUCCUUACCAAAGUAUGAAAACAAACUUACUUUAGUAGGAGAAAAACUACGAAUUGAUGCACAAUUGGCCAAGUCAAUCUUCUUUUAUGAAAGCUGCAGUAAAAUCGUUUAUCACUUACGAGAACUUUUCCUGUAUCCCACUCUUAGAGAUGUGUCAUCCAUCCUACUGGCAGGAAGCUAUGCAGAGUGUCCAAUGGUUCAAACUGCUUUAACAGAGGCGUUUAAAUCUCCUCAUAGAGAGGUUUUUUCACCAGAUAUGCAUACAAUGGUAGGUUGGUGUGGGGCUGUUAUGUAUGGACACCAACCUAAAAUCUACAGUUAAAGAAGUAUGUCUGUUAUUAUAUAAUAAAUAGCGAGAUUGUGUAGUAGGGAUCUUAUAUUAAGAACUGUAAAAGUUUUUAAGUAAACUGUUUGGCUUACUAGACAUCACAGUUAAUAAAAAUAACCCAAAAACAAACAAUUUACAUGAACUGUAGCCAACAUAGUGUUCUGUGAGACUGAGAUUUAUACCAUAGUACUAGAUCAAGAUACAUCAAAGAACGUUGUAUCAACCAUAUUGGGUUUAUUUUGGUAAUUUGAACUAUAUAACAUAUUUUAGACAUGUUCAAGACAUAAUUUCAUACGACAUGCAUAAAAGUGUGAAAGGAAGUUUUAGCAUAUCUUUCACAACAUAACCAUAGCAUACCAAAACAUUGAAAUCUCAUACCAUAGCAUUUAAAUCUCAUUGGAAUCCAAUAGCAUAUCUUUAGAUUCUUAUUUGUCAUAGCAUACCUUAACAAAGCAUACAAUAUAAUUUCAAAUCGUUUUUAAUUAUUUUGAAAAAACAACAAAUGUUUACAUUGCAGAUUAGUGGUAAAUCUUAGCAAUGUAUUAAUUGACUUCGGAAAUGUUUCUUUUGUAUGUGGAUGCGAUUUUGUUCAAAUGUCAUUAAAUAGCAUACCAUAGCAUACC